AGUGAACGCUGGCGGUAGGCCUAACACAUGCCAGUCGAACGGCAGCACUGUUAGUUCUUGCUAUUACGUGUGGCGCGUAGCGGACGGUUGAGGGAUACAUCUGUGUCUACUUUUUCGUGGGGGAUUACGUAGGGAAACUUACGCUCCUACCGCAUACGACCUACGGGUGAAAUCAGUUGAUCUUCUGCACUUGCACCACUCAAUGAUCCGCUGUCGGAUUAUUUAGUUGGUGGUGUAAAGGCCCCCCACGGCGACGAUCAGACGCGGGCCUGAGAGGAUGAUCGGCAACACGGGAACUGAGAAACGGUCAAGACUCCUACGGGAGGCAGCAGAGGGGAAUAUUGGACAAGGGGGGAAGUCCGGAUCAAGCAAUACCGCGUGGGUGAAGAAGGCCUUCGGGUGGAAAAGCCCUUUUGUUGGGAAAGAAAAGGAGGAGGUUAAAAACCCGAUGUUCUGACGGUACCCAAAGAAUAAGCAACGGCUAACUUCGUG
rnacentral:rRNA from 1 species